rnacentral:rRNA from 1 species
GUUUGAUCAUGGCUCAGGACGAACGCUGGCGGCGCGCCUAACACAUGCAAGUCGAACGAGCGAGAGGGAGCUUGCUUUCUCGAGCGAGUGGCGAACGGGUGAGUAACGCGUGAGGAACCUGCCUCAAAGAGGGGGACAACAGUUGGAAACGACUGCUAAUACCGCAUAAGCCCACGGGUCGGCAUCGACCAGAGGGAAAAGGAGCAAUCCGCUUUGAGAUGGCCUCGCGUCCGAUUAGCUAGUUGGUGAGGUAACGGCCCACCAAGGCGACGAUCGGUAGCCGGACUGAGAGGUUGAACGGCCACAUUGGGACUGAGACACGGCCCAGACUCCUACGGGAGGCAGCAGUGGGGAAUAUUGCACAAUGGGGGAAACCCUGAUGCAGCGACGCCGCGUGGAGGAAGAAGGUCUUCGGAUUGUAAACUCCUGUUGUUGAGGAAGAUAAUGACGGUACUCAACAAGGAAGUGACGGCUAACUACGUGCCAGCAGCCGCGGUAAAACGUAGGUCACAAGCGUUGUCCGGAAUUACUGGGUGUAAAGGGAGCGCAGGCGGGAAGACAAGUUGGAAGUGAAAUCCAUGGGCUCAACCCAUGAACUGC